rnacentral:rRNA from 1 species
GAUGAACGCUGGCGGCGUGCUUAACACAUGCAAGUCGAACGGAAAGGCCCUGCUUUUGCGGUGUGCUUGAGUGGCGAACGCGUGAGUAACACGUGAGUAACCCGCCCUUGACUUUGGGAUAUCUUUAGGAAACUGCGGCUAAUACCGGAUAUGAUCUUCUGCUCCACGUUGGGGGUUGGAAAGUUUCGGCGGUUGGGGCUGGACUAGCGGCUUACCAGCUUGUUGGUGUGGUAGUGGCUUACCAAGGCUUUGACGGGUAGCCGGCCUGAGAGCAUGACCGGCGUCAUUGCGACUGAGGUACGGCCCAGACGGCAACGGGAAGCAGCGGUGGGGAAUAUUGCACAAUAGGCGGAGGCCUGAUGCAGCAACGCCGGGUGCGGGAUGCCGGGCUUCGGGUUGUAAACCGCUUUGGCCUGUAACGAGGCGUGCGUGACGGUAAUGGAUAAGGAAGCACCGGCUAACUACGUG